CACCACAAAACCAGGAGUGGCACUGUGGCUUGAAGUGGCAGAGUGAUAACUUUGAGCUAAUGAGCUCAGGGACAGUGCCCGGGCCCUGAGCACAAGCCCCAUGACCAACAACAACAAAAAAGAUUACCCUAAAAAUCUUUGUAUACCAAAAUCACUUUGGCAAAGGGCCUAGCAAAGGGUUGCCCCAAUAUAUAGUCAUAGCA